AACAAAAAAAAAAAAAAAAAGGAACUCUAAAAAUCAAAAACCCUCAUUUCAAUCUUCUCCAAACCCCCCGCACACUCCACGCCUAAUCCAUUUUUCAGAGGAUUUGGUUCGAUCCAAUUGAAUGGCGCAUAAUUAAUCUUCAUAUUGAAAUUCGAUCUCCGUUCUUCGAAUCUUUUGCCAUCGCAAUCUCAAUUUGUCCGCGGAUUUCGAUUAUUUUUCUUUAGUUUAAAGCUCUUUUGACUUUUCAUGAAGGAAAGAAGUUGAAAGUUUGUGAAUUUGAUCAUAUUGAUUAGGAGAUAAUAAAUUGAUUGUGGAAAUCAAGGGUUGUUGUUUAGAUUAAAAGGGGAUUUGGAGAUAUGGAUUCGAGUAGGAGAGCGGUGGAGUCGUACUGGAGAUCGAAGAUGGUCGAUACUGUAACCUCCCAGGAAGACAAGGUAACGCCUGUUUACAAAUUGGAAGAGAUUUGUGAGCUCUUGCGGUCUUCUCAUGUCAGUAUCGUUAAAGAGGUAUCAGAAUUUAUCUUGAAGCGGCUUGAACAUAAGAGCCCCAUUGUUAAACAAAAGGCUCUGAGGUUGAUAAAAUAUGCUGUGGGCAAGUCAGGUGUGGAGUUCAGGAGGGAAAUGCAAAGACAUUCAGCUGCUGUACGCCAAUUAUUUCAUUACAGGGGUCAGACAGAUCCUUUGAAGGGGGAUGCCCUUAAUAAGGCUGUGAGGGACACUGCUCAUGAGGCUAUCUCUGCUAUUUUUUCAGAGGAGAAUAAGCCAACAACUACUGAAGAUCUUAACGAACGGAUACAAGGAUUUGGGAAUACAAAUUUUGAAAUGCCAUCAGAAGAUAGGAAAUCGUUUCUUAGUGAGGUAGUUGGUAUUGGAAGUGCAUCUAUUAAGCAGGGACUUAGUAACUUCACACAAGGCCAUUCAUUACGAAAGAAUGACAAUGGAAGCUACAAAGGUCCUAAUCUUCGUAGGUCAUUGACCAUAGAAAAUGAUCACGCAGAUAGAUAUGAACCAGUUCAGUUACGCAAUGAAACUCAGGGUAGUUUUGGAGUUUUGAAGAAUGCAACUAGUGGACCUUGGGGCCAGGACAGUAGGGUCUCAAAUGCUGAGACAAAAAAUGGGGGCUCCAGUUCAAGUUAUACAGAGAGUAAGACUCGUGAGGAGAGAUUAUUGGAGACUAUUGUAACAUCUGGUGGCAUACGUCUACAACCCACCCGUGAUGCCAUUCAAGUUUUUCUAUUAGAGGCAGCAAAGUUGGAUGCACGUGCCCUAAGUCAUGCCCUUGAAUCUAAGCUCCAGUCUCCUGUGUGGCAGGUUUGCAUGAAAGCUGUGUGUGUGCUUGAGUCAAUACUGAGGAAAAGGGAUGAUGAGCAUUUUUCAAUUGUAACUUCAUACUUCUGUGAAAAUAAGGAUACUGUUGUCAGAUGUACUGAGUCUCCUCAAUCUUCUCUAAGGGAAAAGUCUACGAAGGUAAGUAUUUCUCAUGAAUAUGUAUCAGGUUCUGCUUUUACUUACCUAAUUUGCUCUGCUUUUUCCCACCACAGGGGAUGCUGUGGUUAAUUUCUGGAUGUGAUAAGUUGUUAAAAACUUAUAUGCUAGGCUUGCUUCUCAACUGUUAUAGCAAUCAUCACUGUAAUCAUUGGUUCAAGGACUGAAUUAUUAAUAGUAAAGCAACUGGACAUCUUUGAUGCCUAAGUCAUUGGACAUUGCUAGAGGGAUUCCUGCUACGGAACUUCAAUCUUUCAGCUUCUUUUGGGAAUGUUUAGAUCAUAGUGUUGCUCCUUAUUAGAAUAACAUCAUUAAGCCUACAUGACUAAUAAUCUAGUACUAAUUUGGGUGGCCUACACUAGUUGAUAAUUAAAUAACUCAUUUUAACUUUUAGCCAAAUCCUUUAAUUUGAAAAAUAAGGUUAGAUUUUCUUUAUUUUGUUUACUUCUUUUUUGCCUUGCCCCUUACUAGAAUAACAUUAUUUUUAUCUUAUUAGCUGGUCCGUGUGUUCGCUUUUUGAUAAUUCAGAAGAUAUUAAUAUGGUACAAACUGAUAUAGAUCACAUAGAGAUUCUUUUAAAAUUCACAAGGUUACAUUAUGUGGCUAUAAAAGUUUGGCCUUUGAUGAACAGGUAUUGAGCCUUUUGGGUGGGGAACGGGCAGGUCCCUUUAUGGGAAAUUCAGAAAAGUCAGUUAAGGAUGAGACCGCUUCUGUUCAGAUGCCUGACUUAAUAGACACGGGAGAUUCAAAUGAUUUCUUUGAAACAAAUGAUUCUAUAAAGGAGCCAAUUGAUGAGAAGACGGCAAAUCUGACAAUGCCCACAACAAAUUUAAUUGAUGACCUAUUUGGAGAUAGUUAUGAUGGUGGGAACUCCAGAGAACAAAAAAAAUGAUGAUGAUCCCUUUGCAGAUGUUUCAUUCCACACUAAUGAGAGUAGAGAACAUGCAGAUGAUCUCUUUUCUGGGAUGACUGUUGACAGUAAACCAGGCACUAAUGAGAAUCAUAUGCCAACAAAUAAAAAUGGAACAGAGCCAUUCGAUAUUUUUGGGUCGAAUGCUGAACUGACCCAGGAGCAAGGAAAUUGUAAAAUGGAUGUUAAUGAUUUAAUGGCUGGUAUGUCCAUUAAUGAAAAUGUCCCAAAGAUGAAUCAACCAGGAACCACAUCUGUGGUGCUCCCAGAAAGUAUCUUUGCAGAUCCAAGUAAUCAUUCUGGACAUCAGCUCUCAAAUGAUGCUUUAACUAGCAUACUUGGUUCUCAAGCGACCACAAUGAAUGCAAAUUCAAUAUUUCCUUCUGGUACUAUGACAUAUAAUAUUCCUCCUGGCAUUAUGUUGAAUCCUGCAUUUCGUACGCAGCCUGUAAAUUAUGGUGGCAUGGGGAAUUUUCUUGCGCAUCAGCAAUUUCUGGCUACAAUGUCCAACUUCCAACACUUAAGUAACCUCAAUGCACAAAAUCCUGGAGUUAGUAAUGUUCUUGGUGCUAAUGGAGGUGGAUAUUCUUCAGCCUUUCCGGAUAUUUUCCAAUCAAAUUAUCCAAAUCAAGCUCCUAGUUCACUGAUGAACAACUCAAAGAAAGAGGAAACCAGAGCAUUUGAUUUUAUUUCGGACCAUCUUGCAGCGGCACGUGAUCCAAAGAGGGUGGCUUAAAUCUUUGAACUUCAUAUGUUUCACCUUGAUGGGCCUCCUCUGGUUCAAUAGUGCAUUUAUUUGAAGUGAAUAGAUCGAACCAGGUAAAACAUUCUUUGGCAAUAAUGAAAGUUUAGGAUUGAAAGUGAUGAAGGCGUGGGGAGAUCCCGGAACUAGAUUCUGUAUUUGAGAUUAGGCAGAGAGAUGUGGUUUCAAGCUUCUUGUUCAUUUUCAGCUUGUGUUUUUGUGUUUCCCCACACUCACAGGAAUGUCUGUGGUACAAUGUAUUUGAACAUAGUUAAUAAAGAUGAUGUUAGUGAUGUUUAUUGCUACGUUGCACUACCAGACCGUUCUUCGCCUGUAGUUGUCCAAUGGCGCUAAGAUUUGUAACCCUGGAAUUUGAAGCAGUAGUGGGCGACUAGGCAUCUCAAUUUAAGCUUUGUUGUCUAUAGCAAAUAUCUAAGGUUCAGAGCCUGUGGCAUUUAUGCUUUGAACUUCUUACUUUGAAUGCAUUUGCCUUAAGUUGCAGAUGAUAAGCUAUUGAUUACCAACUCAUCUUUGCCUUCACGUGGGCUUAUUGGAGGAAUUCUUAAACUUCAGGAUCCAUCUCAUCCGGAAAAUGUGCAGUAAUAAGCAAAAAGGAGUUGGAUUUGUUCCUCAUCCCUUCUGUUUUCUAUUAUUUAAAGAUAAGACUUCUCCUCCUCUUCUCCCCAUUUAUGCCACUGUUUUCCUCCUAUUAGUACCUUGUGAGACUGUUAGAUUUCAUGCAAAAAC
rnacentral:misc_RNA from 1 species